CUACAAAAUAUUUUCUUUAAAUUGCUAGAGUAAUAAGAGGAGUUUUAUUAAUCCUCUAGAUGGGUUUUGGUGAAAGGGUUCCCUGAAAGCAGACUUGGUGACAGACACUAGCAUGCAGAAGGUUUAUUGGGUAUGUUUCCAGAGAUGCACUUACAAGGAUAGGUGGGGGAGAAAUUGACCCUUCAUAUGUUGUAACUGAGGCCUUACCAAUGCUACAGGGAGUGCUGGAGCUGAGAUGAGCCUUCAGAAUUGUCUUCUACUAAAGCCAAGGGCCCAACCAUUGUAUCUCUGCAUCAGGCAGUCAUUGGCUAUUGAGCCAUCCCUGGGAGGGGCCUUAGUCUGGAGCCAGAUAGUUCUCUGCCAAGGUCAUUGCCUAGGAAGGGACACAGCUGUGAGCCAUCAGCAGCUGGAGGCUUGUGCCUCAGCCCUGAAG
rnacentral:lncRNA from 1 species